rnacentral:rRNA from 1 species
UACGUAGGGCGCAAGCGUUGUCCGGAAUUAUUGGGCGUAAAGAGCUCGUAGGUGGUUUGUUACGUCUGCUGUGAAAACCUAGGGCUUAACCCUGGGCCUGCAGUGGAUACGGGCAGACUAGAGGUAGGUAGGGGAGAAUGGAAUUCCCGGUGUAGCGGUGAAAUGCGCAGAUAUCAGGAGGAACACCGGUGGCGAAGGCGGUUCUCUGGGCCUUACCUGACACUGAGGAGCGAAAGCGUGGGGAGCGAACAGG